rnacentral:rRNA from 1 species
GAUGAACGCUAGCGGCAGGCCUAAUACAUGCAAGUCGAACGGUGUCUUCGGACAUAGUGGCGCACGGGUGCGUAACACGUAUGCAACCUACCUUACAUUGGGGGAUAGCCUUUCGAAAGGGAGAUUAAUACCGCAUAAGACAGUAGCUGGGCAUCCAGCAGCUGUUAAAGAUUUAUCGAUGUAAGCUGGGCAUGCGUCUAAUUAGCUAGUUGGUGAGGUAAUGGCUCACCAAGGCGAUGAUUGGUAGGGGAACUGAGAGGUCAAUCCCCCACACUGGCACUGAGAUACGGGCCAGACUCCUACGGGAGGCAGCAGUAGGGAAUAUUGGGCAAUGGACGCAAGUCUGACCCAGCCAUGCCGCGUGCAGGAUGAAGGCGUUAUGCGUUGUAAACUGCUUUUAUACAGGAAGAAACGACUCUUGCGAGAGGCAUUGACGGUACUGUAUGAAUAAGCACCGGCUAACUCCGUGCCAGCAGCCGCGGUAAUACGGAGGGUGCAAGCGUUGUCCGGAUUUAUUGGGUUUAAAGGGUGCGCAGGUGGUUUAUUAAGUCAGUGGUGAAAGACGGUCGCUCAACGAUUGCAGUGCCAUUGAAACUGGUAGACUUGAGUAAAGUAGAGGUGGGCGGAAUUGAUAGUGUAGCGGUGAAAUGCAUAGAUAUUAUCAAGAACUCCAAUUGCGUAGGCAGCUCACUUGGCUUUU